UAGUGAGUUUGAUCCUGGCUCAGGAUGAACGCUGGCGGUCUGCUUAACACAUGCAAGUCGAACGCAAGUAGAAAUACUUGAGUGGCGGACGGGUGAGUAACGCGUGAGAAUCUGCCUUCUGGUCGGGGACACCACUGGAAACGUGGCUAAUACCGGAUAUGCCUAUGGGGUGAAAGAUUAAUUGCCAGAAGAAGAGCUCGCGUCGGAUUAGCUAGUUGGUGAGGUAAAACGCUCACCAAGGCGACGAUCCGUAGCUGGUCUGAGAGGAUGAUCGAGCCACACGUGGGACUGACGACACGGCCAGACU
rnacentral:rRNA from 1 species